GCACCCCCCUCCCAUGCCCCCCCUGAAGAACUCCCCUCUGCGUCCCAGUGCUGUCAGUUCUCCGAUGUCAGCCAGGUGGGUGCCGGUCCCUUCCAGUGUGGGACCACAGCCGCCUCUGCUGCAGCCCUAUGGCAUGAUGGGAAUGAACAAACCCAUGGCUCCCUUCCCAGGGUUCCCUGACUACAGCAACAGGCCGAGAUGACAGAAGAAAGGUGGCAGCUAGGAUGUGUUGGCUGACUACCUCAUCGAGUUGGAACAACUAUGCAACACCAGCCAUGCAGACAGCCAAUCACAGCAAGCUUGAUACCCAACCAACCAAUCACAACAAGCCUGGCAAUCAGCCAAUCCAGGUCAGCCAAACAGAAGGGCAACCAACCACAGCAAGCCUCACAACAGCAAAGACAUGCUGUAAAACGCAGGUUUCUACAACAGAAGGAAUAAGAAGUUUAACACAAAAUGAUUUUUCAGACUUAAAAGAUACUUGCAUCUUUUUCACACCUAGAUACAGUUAACUGAUUCACAUGGAGUUUUAGAAUUUAGGCUAUUGCGUAAACUAAGAUAUUACAAGACUUUAUAAACUGCAUGUACUCAAAGAUGUACACAUCUACAAGAUGACAAAAAAAUAGACUGUGAGAAGUGUUUAAUUCCUUGUAAGAGUUAGCAGGUUUUUCUACGGAUGUUUCGUACUACAGAACUAUCUGUCAAUAGUUCGCAAUCUAGCAACUUUCCUGAUUUUUUUUGUGGCCAUUUUGCCAACAGCUGUCGCAAUCUCACAUGUACUACAUGUAUUAGAUGAAUUCUGUCAUCUGGAGAGACCAAAUCUAAAGACAUUAAAGACUAUCAUGUUCAACUAGUAUGGUAGAGUAGUCAUAGUUCAUGUAGUUUGUAACAUGUGUUACAUUUUGUAGCUCUAGUGGUGAGAUAUGUUAUAAUUCCAAAGACAUUAGUGAUGUACAGUGGAGAUGUUUUGUAUAAAAUGGUUCAUGAACCUGCUAUUAUGGGGCUUAGGAAGGCAAACUGGAUGUAAAAUUCAUAUUGACAAAGUCAUAUGUAAAGAAAUUUAAGCCCACCCCCAUUUUAAGCGUCGCAAUUCAGUUGGUAAAAGUGUAUCAUUCUGUAUCUUUUUUUAACAAGGGUCUUCCAUCUGUAGUGUGUUUCUUUUGUAUACUGAAACUGUAGGUACCGAUAGUCAUUUUAAGACUCUCCAACCAUUUAUAUGACUACUGCCAGGCACAUAGGGACUGUGAAAUGUUGAUAAGAAAGACUGUGAUGGUAUGAUGUUAUGUUAGGACAAGGUACGUACCAUACAAUUACUGCACUGAGUUAGCGUUGGGGUCAUAGAUUCAUCUUCUUAAAAAGUUUCUUGACUUUAAGAUAAUCUUGCCAGGCCAGAGAUGGUUAAGGACUACCCAAGCUGUCUAAGACACUUGUACAGACUUUGUCUUUGGCAUGAGUUCAAGAAUUGCAACACUUAUAGUCUGGACAAAAACGUUUAUGAACCAUCCAGUGACAAUGUCUUAUACCCCUUGUAAUGUAAUGUGACUGUGACUAAAACAACUGCCAUUUUGUAAGAUGUUUGUAAUUUUUAUAGAAAAAGAUACAAAACUAAACAAACAUAGUUGUAACCGUUUACAAAAAAAAUCCUAACAUCGACAUUCCAAAUUUUUGGGAUGCUAUGAGAAUAACGCAAUUUAGUAACAUUUUCAGCAGGAAACAUUUAAUAGAUGUAAGUUGAUUCGUGCUGCUCUGUUGCUUGAGAUAAAUUGUCUGAAGUUGAUCUAAACAUGAUCACGACUUCUUUUGGGCUUAUACUUCUAAAAAGUUUGUGAUAUUCUCUAUAUUAUGUUGAGAUAUCAAGCACAGGCAUAGGAUGUUGAAAAGCAGUGUGCUCAGACACAAGAUCAGUGUUAAACUGUUGAUUUCUUCACCAUGUGCAAAUUUGCCAUGUUAUAUCACACAUAAUAUGAAUUUUCAACAUUUUUCGCUGGGGGAAAAUGUAUUUCUGUGCAAACUUUUUUUCAGAAGUGAAACACAAGGACAUGUUGUCAUGUAGAGGUAGCAAAACUUCUGUAUUUCAACUUUUGAUGAGUCAGAAAAUGGAAUUGUACUACUUGCUUUGAUUCACAUAUCUUUUUACAGUUCAAUAUUAGGUUGCAAAUGAGCUUUUUAUACCAUUAUGCUCAACAUUCUUAGUCAACAAGGCAUUGGUAUGUACUUACCAGUAGUACCUGUAUCAGGUAAUGGGUAUUAUGUCUAUUGUAAGCAUGUAUCUGCAUGAUUUUCUUCAUGUAAAGCAUCAUUUCUUGAAAAUAUUUAGGGCUUAGAAAAUUUGAAGACUCAUACUCACUUCAUGCUACUAUUUCAUUCCCAUCUAAGUUGUCAAUCGUGUUUAAAAAGUUGUUCCCAAUUUCUACAUUGGUAUUCUUGUUACUUGUAUACAUGAACGCUGGUGCUGGUAAUUAUGGAGUUCAUCUAUUGGAGAGACUUUGGGAAUUUGGAAAAUCUACCCAAGUUUAAAGCUGAAAGUCUCUCUAUUAUAAAGUUAUAACAGAAAGGAAUAUAUUAUAGUACAGUACAGAGAGAAGCAACAAAUAUGUAACUCAUGACUUAAACUUUAAAGUUAAGUUGACGUUUCAAGUUCCCAAGGGCCCUCCAGCUUUAAGAUGACAAGGUCUAGUGUAGACCUUCUGGCAGCUGCUUUGUAUCUUGUGUACGUAUUGACAAGAUUCAGUGUUGUUGUUUUUUUACUAAAUGUAAAUGUGCCAUGGUUACCUAAUCUCCAAGCAGAUGUUUUGCUUUGUCACGUAACAUUGAAAAAGAUGUGCAAAAACAAGACAAAGCUUCACAUCGAUUAGAGACUUAUAAUUAGCAAUAUGCCGGUAUGUUCUUGGUGAACUGUGGCUGACUUGUGAUUGGUAGCUGACCCCACAAUCUUGGCAUUGAUUGGUCAGUCGCAGGACCAAUGAGGUUACCCCAUUUAAUUCUGAAUAUAGCUGCUUGGUAUUGGCUGACCUGAGAUAGUGUUAAUUUGUUCUAAUUUUGUAUAUAUGUCUAGUAAGUAAUUUGGGGUAUUAAAGCCACCACACUUUCUCAGUCUUAAGUUAGGACUGCGAGUAUCAGGGCUAAACUGGAUACAAAACGGUGCUUAUUUUACCAGUUGUGUAACAUUUAAUGAUUCAACACACAUCUGGACACUUAUUUAAACUCCUUAGGGUUUAUCAAUGUAUGAUUGUUAAGAAUUCAAUCUUUCAAUUGUGUAUAAUUUUGAUAUUCCUGAUUAUUUAUGAUUCACGGAGACAGGAAAUUUUUUCUAAAAGUGCUUGGGUGCUAGUCGGUAUUGAUACUAUGAUAUGGUGAAUUUGCCAGUGUUGUUCUUACCAGUAUGUCCAAAGUAAGGCCUGGCUAUAAGAAGGCCUGAAGCAGUCUGUACAUGUAGGUGGAGACUUAUCCGUUCAUGUAUUGAUCUUGAGUGUGUGAAGUGUUUGAUGUAGAAAUAAAGAUCAUCACAGGAAGAAUUAUA